CCUGCGGAGGGAUCAUUACAAGUGACCCCGGUCUAACCACCGGGAUGUUCAUAACCCUUUGUUGUCCGACUCUGUUGCCUCCGGGGCGACCCUGCCUUCGGGCGGGGGCUCCGGGUGGACACUUCAAACUCUUGCGUAACUUUGCAGUCUGAGUAAACUUAAUUAAUAAAUUAAAACUUUUAACAACGGAUCUCUUGGUUCUGGCAUCGAUGAAGAACGCAGCGAAAUGCGAUAAGUAAUGUGAAUUGCAGAAUUCAGUGAAUCAUCGAAUCUUUGAACGCACAUUGCGCCCCCUGGUAUUCCGGGGGGCAUGCCUGUUCGAGCGUCAUUUCACCACUCAAGCCUCGCUUGGUAUUGGGCAACGCGGUCCGCCGCGUGCCUCAAAUCGACCGGCUGGGUCUUCUGUCCCCUAAGCGUUGUGGAAACUAUUCGCUAAAGGGUGUUCGGGAGGCUACGCCGUAAAACAACCCCAUUUCUAAGGUUGACCUCGGAUCAGGUAGGGAUACCCGCUGAACUUAAGCAUAUCAAUAAGCGGAGGAAAAGAAACCAACAGGGAUUGCUCUAGUAACGGCGAGUGAAGCAGCAAUAGCUCAAAUUUGAAAUCUGGCGUCUUCGACGUCCGAGUUGUAAUUUGUAGAGGAUGCUUCUGAGUAACCACCGACCUAAGUUCCUUGGAACAGGACGUCAUAGAGGGUGAGAAUCCCGUAUGCGGUCGGAAAGGUGCUCUAUACGUAGCUCCUUCGACGAGUCGAGUUGUUUGGGAAUGCAGCUCUAAAUGGGAGGUAAAUUUCUUCUAAAGCUAAAUAUUGGCCAGAGACCGAUAGCGCACAAGUAGAGUGAUCGAAAGAUGAAAAGCACUUUGGAAAGAGAGUUAAAAAGCACGUGAAAUUGUUAAAAGGGAAGGGAUUGCAACCAGACUUGCUCGCGGUGUUCCGCCGGUCUUCUGACCGGUCUACUCGCCGCGUUGCAGGCCAGCAUCGUCUGGUGCCGCUGGAUAAGACUUGAGGAAUGUAGCUCCCUCGGGAGUGUUAUAGCCUCUUGUGAUGCAGCGAGCGCCGGGCGAGGUCCGCG
rnacentral:rRNA from 1 species